UUCGCAAUGCCCGAAAGGGUGACGAUGCGACGCCGCGUGAGCGAAGAAGGCCCUAGGGUUGUAAAGCUCUGUCGAGGGUUAUGAAAUAUAGAUGGGUUAAUACCCCAUUUAUUUGACAAAAGCCCAAAAGGAAGCCACGGCUAACUCUGUGCCAGCAGCCGCGGUAAUACAGAGGUGGCGAGCGUUGUUCGGUAUUAUUGGGCGUAAAGAGCACGUAGGUGGUUUUGUAAGUCAGGUGUGAAAGCCUUCUGUUCAAAGGAAGAACGGCAUCUGAAACUGCAGAUCUUGAGUGUAGGAGGGGAGAGUGGAACUUCUGGUGGAGCGGUGAAAUGCGUAGAUAUCAGAAGGAACGUCGGCGGCGAAAGCGACUCUCUGGCCUAUUACUGACACUCAGUGUGCGAAAGCUAGGGGAGCAAACGGGAUUAGAUACCCCGGUAGUCCUAGCCGUAAACGAUGGGCACUAAGUAGAGGGGUUUU
rnacentral:rRNA from 1 species